GGAAAAGUAAGCGCAAGAGCAGCCAUUAGGCUUCUUUCAGGCUUCAUCUGGAUUUUGGAUUCUGAAGUUGGAGAAACUGCCUUCAAAUUUCUGUGUGCAGAGCAAUGGCCAAGAAAAGGAAAGACUUCCCCGAGUGGAAAAAAAAGAUGAAGAUACAAGCUGGUGAUGAUCCAGAGCAGCUGGUCUCAGGAAAUGAAGAAAAACCCUGAUCACCUUCUCUACAAACACAAGAAUAAAUUGCGACUAGUCUCAAUGGCUGACACAGAGGAGCAACACAGCGACACGUUAACUCCGACUGCUGCAGUUCCUGUAUGAACUGAGCAACUCUUAAAAUCCAAGGAAAAGCUGUGUGUAUUUUACUUAAAGCUCAGAUGGACCUUGAUGUACUAACAUGUAGGCUGCAUUCAGGACUUUGUCACACUGUUAUAUGAAGAGCGGUAACAAGACUUUGUAGUAAUUUGUCUUACUAUUGUCUUAUUUGUUGUGAUUUAGGGUCUGUGCGCACAAGCAGAGGUUUUUGUUUGUAACUGUAACCUCGUUUUCAGAGCCUUGUCUAACAUUUAAUGGUCAUGAAAUAUGUCAGACUUUUUCCUCUACUUAACCAGCUUAGAGAAUUUGAACACCGUGGAGAAAAAGGUGUGC
ensembl:lncRNA